GUAGUGCACUAAUUUUGUUCUGAUCACUUGCUGUUAGAAUCCGGACAUGCAGUAUGACCUAAUAAAUCUUUCUGUAGAAUGUUGGAGUUGGGUGUCCAUAAAACAUAGCAUGUCUACAACAGUACAGAGGGACACAAAGUCCUACCAGAGGAAAAUGCUUCUCUGCUGGGUGAAAAUUUGCAGGGGGGAAAAGGGGAAAACAUGUGGGCUAAAUUGUGUUAGUACAUGCAAACAUGUUGUUGGGAAGGAACACACAAAUCCAUUGAAUACACUUAUCAUACAUUAAAAGUUUUAAUAUAAAGGAAAUUCAGCUUUGUAUUUGCUUUUCAAAGUCCCUGAUUUGCUUUAUGGUUAAAAUUAAAAAGAAUAGUAAUACUUGAUUAAUAUGUUCUAUGCAGUUGAUGAAUGAAGAGAAAUUAUAACACAACAUUCUAAAAUUGGAACGACAAUUACGGAAACCAAUGGAAUACUUCUGCACACAAGAGCAUGCAGGUAAGUGAGGCCGGUUGACAAUUACCUCCCAAACCACCAGUAAAUAGGGAUUAUGAUCUAAAUUCCAGCAGCUUUCUUCUGCAGGUUAAAAUAGCAGGAAGUGCAUUGGUAUGUCUCUUGCCAAACUACUGAUGGAGUGAGACAGAAGGCAGGAAUUGUGCAGAGCCUUUAGUAGCCAAGCAUCGUGUGGGUUUGUGCACGAGCUGAUGCCUUCAGUCUCAAUGUUCUCUAGGCCUGGACUAGCCAACAUGUCUGUCUCUUGGUGAAGUGCAGUAUCUGGGGUCAAUCAAGAAGCCAAUAUGAUAAGUUGGAUAUUCCUGGAGCUCUUUACAAGUGACUGAUGGGUGAGAUAAAAACAUGAACAUUACAUUUGUAACACAUGCUGGUAGAGACUGGUAGCAGUGGAGUUUCUGGAAACAAUCUGUGUCUCUUAGACAUGCACAACUCUUUCUGUGAAUACCCAGAUCAUAUUGGUCGAGGUUUCAGAGGUGGAUGGUGUCAACUCCAACAACAUCCAUCUGUCAAAU